GGACUGUAUUCACAUCAGGCUUGAUUGGGCCAAAAGGUCUGCUUUCAAGUUCCCAAAGUCUGCCUGGGUGACCUCAGGAAGUGACAGCUGCCUUCCUCCAUAGUAAGGAAUGCAGGACACACACACACACACACACACACACACACACACACAAACACACACACACGGGGAGGGGUGGGGAGAGAGAGAGAAGUUAUUCUAUAAAGUAGUUUCAGGAGAGAUCACCAGCAUUUUGUUGUAUCCUGUUGCUGUUACAGACCUACCAUCUAGUUCCAUGUGGAAGAGGACCACACAAGGGUGAAAUUCCAAUGGAAUUUGCCUUGCUAGACUUUGGAAUUCCUGGGCACCUGUGACCCCUGUCUCUUUUCUGGAUUCUCUUUUGGAAUGGAAAUGUCUGUUCUAUGCUCAUGCCAUCAUUUUGUUUUGGAAGCAGUAAGACUCAACAUUUCUUUGCCUUCCUCAAGAUGAACCAUCAGGCACUGUGAAGCUCCUGGUGCCUGGAUAAGACUUAUAAGAAGAGGGAGAAAAACACAGCUUAAAUCAUUUUAUAGAAUUUCCCAGCACAUCUUCCUUGCAGCUGGCUUCAAAAGAGAAAGCUCCUGGGAUUCCAGGUGCUUGGGUCCUCAGGUGUCUCUUCCCAGUUCUGCAAACCUUCCCUGGAGCAGCGAUGGUUUUGAAUCCUCGAUCAUCUCAAUUUCUCUCUUCCAGUUAAUGCAGUGCCAUCAGACAUAUUGCCCUGAAGAUCAAGUCCGGGUCAUUCCAUCAAUUCACUGCGGUUUACGAAGAUAGAGAAAAAAGCCAGGCUGUGUGGGCUAUCAACUUCAAAUGGCUUAGUAAACAUGCUUUGGCUGUUUUAACUGCUUCACUUCUGACUCUGGACCUUUGUGCUUCUGGACAAGACCACCCAAAUCAGCCCCGCUGGAUAUGGUAGAUGCAGCCCUGAAGCCAGGAGGCCUUGGGAGAGGAAGAAGCACAUCUGGAGAGUUCCCAGCCAGAGUGGUUGCAACAGGACUUGGAGGGAGGCUUGUAUCCAGCAUUGACUGAGGAUGCUACCUAAGUUCCAACAGUUUGUCUCACCAGCCAGAGAACUUGGCAGCUGGUGGGGGAAAAGGAAGAAGAGAGGCGUGUUCCUUUAGUAAUAGGUUUUGUAGCAGGGUUGGGAUUCCUAAUCCAAUCCAUCUUCUCUCUACAGGAGCUGCUGGUCAGUGAUAAUGGUUUCAAAAGAUGAAAACUCUGUAAGUCAUUUUUCAUGGGAUGAGGUGUCACCAAGGGCAGGACACACACAGAGAACAGCACACUUAUUGGAAGAGAUGAUCUCUCAGGAAGAGAAUGAACAUUUCUUGCCCCAGGGAGAGAGGGAAGGAGUGGAAGAGGUGGCAUUUGGUUAGAUUGCUGAUGUUUGCACAGAUAAAACACUAGAUGUCUCUUGAGAAUCCAGUGCAGUUAUUACAUUGGGUGCAAAGAAUCUUGAAUUAUUAUUAUAUUCCUUGUACUUAUGCAUGAUGUCAAAAUUUGAAAUCCUAUGCUCCAAAUUCUGGUGAUACAGUAUUUGCAGAAAAGUGACAGUGACUCUAAAUAUUAUUAAAAAGUGUAUUG
ensembl:lncRNA